rnacentral:lncRNA from 10 species
UAAGGAUCUAAGCAUCUAGCAUUUCCCCUGCUUGCCUGUACUCCAUCCUGCCACCCUGUGAAGAAGGUUCCUGCUUCUCCUUUACCUUCUGCCAUGACUGUAAGUUUCCUGAGGCUUCCCCAGCAAUGAGUAACUGUACUAUAGUAGGGACUGGAAAUUCAACGUGAAAAAAAGUUAAAUCUCUGCUGCCUUAAAAGAAUCAGAAUGUAAGGAGAAAAUGUUUUCAGCUGGAACUUAAAUAGACCGGCCACAAAUAACCCGUAAUUCUCUAUAAAUGGACUGUCAUGCUGAGAACAGCUUUAUGCCACGCUGAUCCUAGCUCCACAAGAGCCGGCUAAGCUACACUUACCCAGUAGCAGGUCACACUCCAGAGCCCACUGGAUUCUUGCUGACACAAUAAGUACGCUUCCAGCUGGGGCCAAGAACAAUCUGGACUCAGGCAGAGUGUGAAUUACAGUGAAGAGCUACCACCCUCCUAACCACAGCCAAUCAACAGAAAAUAAACACAGGUAGGAGAAGGAAUGAACUCCUUUCCACAACAUGAGUACAUCACUUUUUCUCUGUUACAGUUUUGUGGAGGAAAUCAUCCCCUUGGGAUCUUCAGCGUUGUCUCAUUUACCUCCGCUCUCUCUAGAACUGGGUGGUGCAAAAAUGCCUAAGCCUUCUUGGGAAAGGAAACUGAGUGCCACAUGCAUAGGAGGCGUGGCUAUGGGUCAGCUGGUGUACCUCUAAUGCAAGUACCUCACAUGCUUAAAAUGGUUCUUCCUCCUAUCCCUCCUUUCCGUAAACUGCACCCUCUGUUUCACCCAAAACCAAAAUGGUAAAAUCACUGAGAAAACACAAGAGUUAUUGAAAUCAAAGUGUUAACAAUUCCUUUUAAGUGUAUCUUGCGUUUUAAAUGGAUGUGGUAUCUUAAUAUCAUAUUGUGAUUAUAUUUUUAAUUUUUCAAAGCCACAACCUGACUUAAAAGAGGUCAAUAUUCUUUUCCUCCUUUAAUAAAAUUGUACUGACAAGUUUUAAUAAAAGCUGUGCCUGUUUUAUAUUUUCUUGUUGUGGAUUAUAUACAAAAUUAAAUAUAGAAUCAUUUUAUGUUCAGUUAACAACUUUUAAUUUUUUUCCUAAUUGAAAUGUAAGAGUGUACAUAUUGUUACUAUGUAAGGCUUUGUAAAAUGUAGUCCUUUUAAAGCUAAAAGAAUAGGACCAAAAUAAUUCAACAUAAACAUGUAUUAAUCAUGUGUCAAUUACCAUUUAAAUCUGUACUACUAUUUUACUAUAGAUAACUUACUGAACACCUCCCUUCAAAAUAAA